GACGAACGCUGGCGGCGUGCUUAACACAUGCAAGUCGAGCGGUAAGGCCCUUUCGGGGGUACACGAGCGGCGAACGGGUGAGUAACACGUGGGUGACCUGCCCUCAGCUCUGGGAUAAGCCUGGGAAACUGGGUCUAAUGCCGGAUAUGACUCCAUGACGCAUGUUGUGGGGUGGAAAGCCUUGUGCGGCUGGGGAUGGGCCCGCGGCCUAUCAGCUUGUUGGUGGGGUGANGGCCUACCAAGGCGACGACGGGUAGCCGGCCUGAGAGGGCGACCGGCCACACUGGGACUGAGACACGGCCCAGACUCCUACGGGAGGCAGCAGUGGGGAAUCUUGCGCAAUGGGCGAAAGCCUGACGCAGCGACGCCGCGUGAGGGAUGACGGCCU
rnacentral:rRNA from 1 species